CAAUAAAUAUUUCUUAACAUUUAUUUUUUGAUACUUCUGCAACAUGUCCACCAAGUCAAAUGUAACUUUCUCCUUAAUGAGAUUGUCAGUUUUCUUUCCCCUUCAUACUGCUAUCAACACAUCACUACAUGUUCAACUGAUUCUACUUGUCCACAAUAAUCGCAUCUACCUAAAAUGUGUUUUCCUAUGUUGACUAAAGUUUUAUUGAAUAUAAUAUGUCCAAAUCCAAGUCUUGAAAUAAUUGCUUCUUCCAUUCUUUUGCUUUUUUGCUUUCCUCAUUUCUCCAACUUUCCACUGAAUUCUAUAAAACCAUCUUCCUUUCUUCUCUUCUUCCCAUCACUUUUGCCACCUUUCCUUCUGUUUUGGUUUAAUGAUACUUUUAAUUUCUGUCUUACUAAAGUUAACCGUCAUGUCAAUGGAUCUAUUUCUUUGAUUCCCCCUUAGCAGCCUUAUCUGCAAUUUCAUUUCCUUUAAUUCCUUUAUGUGCUGGUACCCACAGAAAUGUAACAUUAACACCCCUCAUUUGAAUUUGGUGCAAUACUUGUGUUUCAAUCAGAACAUCUUAUCUACUUUCUGAAAAAUGAUUUUGGAAACUGGUUAAUGUAGAGCUUGAGUUGGAACAGAUAAGUAAUCUUAAUGGUCUUACAUCCUCUAUCCAUUGCAAAGCCAGAAAUAUUGCUAACAUUUCUCCAGUGUGUACUGACAGCUCAUCAUUUAUUCUUUUAUUUACUCUGAAAUUAAAUUCUGGAACAUAAAAUCCAACACCUAGUGUAUCACCUAAACUUUUCUGCUAUAUCUGUAGAUCAGUUGUGCUCUUGUGAUGCAAUCAGUGACAUCAUGGACCUAUACAAACCGGAAGUGCUGGGCCGGCCACGCCCACACACCUGCUCUGGAUGUAGGAUCUAAACAAAGGGACAAACGAUGCGCCCGUCGGCUAGCAGCCUGCCUCCGAUGUGAAGGCCAGAGACUGACAUGGAAUAAAGAUGGAGAAACCGUACUGAGGAGAGGACAUGGGGGACGGAAAAGAGAAGACGCGACAAGCAGGGGCCAUGGUAAUCCUAGCCCAAGGCACACCCCAAAGUGCUCACUGAGGCAAUUUCUGCAAGUCUCCUAAUGCAUCAAGAAAGGAGGAAGGGACCCUGAUCCAAGGUUGACAGCUAUCCACCCCUGCUCUGACAGAAACACUUGAACUCCUAAGCACAAAGUCUCUUCCCUUGGCAGGAAUAGAGGUGCAUUUAUUUCUGAGCUUCUUUUGGCAGUCCCUUUCACCAAGUUUUUGGAAGAAUAAGAGAAGAAGGAAAAAAAAAGAUAAACAAAUAAGAAAAAGCAAGAAAUUCUGCAGACAUUCUCAAGGUCACUGUAAGGUGAUGGUAAACCAGAGAGGAGAAGCAUGCACGGAUGAACAUGAGGCCAAACUUGUAUUGUGACCUUCUCGGUGAGACUUAUAACUAAGUGGCCUUUUAGUUUAACCUUUAACCCCU